ACCCCACAAUCCCAGUCCACCCUAUCUCAGAACAAUUUCAAAUGCAGGGGAGGAUCAGAGAUGAAGAUGUUACUCCAAAAGUAUACAUGCAAAGAUGUUCUGGAAGUGCUACUUCUUAACUUGUCUGGUCUUAUAGUCUGUGGUUGAGUUUCUGUAUUACUAGUUUCCACAAGAGUUCAGCAACAAGAUUUCAAGGACUUUUCUUUUUAACGAUCUGAAAAUGAAGAAUGACUCAUCAUACUAUAGGUGCCCUGUAUAUGCUUCAAAAUAAGUGUGUUUUUUGCUCAGUUCUUGUGCCUUCUCGGACCCUCAUGACAACAAUAGGAAUAAACCUACGUAGAAAGUCUAUCUCAGUAGUAAUGAUUGGGGCAACCGAAUGGACUCGACUGACUCAUAUUUCCCACACAUCUUUAAAUUUAUAGCUGGCCUCUGACUAUUUUAGAAAGCCUAUGAUUUGAACUUCAUCCAAGUUUUAACAGCAAUAAAAUUCCACAGGAAAUGGGUUCUUUAGAAUCCAAGAAAUGCACACUUAGGCUAUUGCCUACAAUCAAAUUAUUCUGCUGUUGGAGUUGUGUUGCUGGAGAGAAGAUGAUCCCUUCUUCCCAGAAGAGGCCAUGUUUUCCCAUAUCACAACAUGCAUAGAAUUGGCACUGGUCAACACUAAACCUUCUAUAAGCAUGAUGAGGACAACUUCUGAGCAGCAUCAUCAAGCUUGCCUCUCCUGGGCCACUACAACACCUGCCUCCCACCUUGACAAGCCCUGCGUCAGGCAGGCAUCAUCCCAAUUUGGCCUUGCAAGUUGUUACACGAACAUCCUUCAAGAGUGAUGCCUGAAACAAUCAGUUGCCUUUUUGUCUCGCAAAAAGCCUUUGCUCUCAUCUCAGCUUAGAAUGUCCAUCCAUCACAGUUAGCAGGGCUGGGCCAGCACGGACCUCCAGAAUGUGCAAUGAGCUUUGUAGGCAAUUACCACUUUCUCCAAGGGCUCUGUAGGAUGAGGGUGAAGUGAAUGUCAUUGGAACGGUAGCAUUGUGGUCUAAAAGCUGCAUUCUGCCACAGAUCAACAUGAUGAAAUGUUUAAUUUAGCCUAAAAUUAUUUAUCUGUAUCACCGGCCAUGCCUCAACCACAUACCCCUCAAUAUGUAAACAACAAUAGAUUUAUCUGUUUUAUUUCUGAGAAGAUAAGAUAACCUGAGAAUUUCUUUAUAGAAUUUGUAGAAUGGACCCUCUCCUUGAGGCUGGUGGCGGAAGGGGAGCCAGUGUGUGCAGAGAUCACGUGAGAGUCCUCCAUGGAGAAGUCUACUGCCGAAGUCCACUGAUUUUCACUGCCGUAUGAUAUUCCAUCGUGUGGCACGUGGAACAAUCAGGAUCAUAUUUCAACAUGAGAUCCCCACGUUGAUGUCUCAGUCUUGGGUAGACAUGGUAGGGCUGGUAGGAAGUGGUCUAAUGACUUCCAUUCCUCUGUUGGAACAUUUGGGUUGCUUUUGGGUGUUUUGUUAUUAAAAACACUGCUGCUGCU
rnacentral:lncRNA from 1 species